rnacentral:rRNA from 1 species
AAUUUUUACAAUGAAGAGUUUGAUCCUGGCUCAGGAUGAACGCUAGCGGCAGGCUUAACACAUGCAAGUCGAGGGGCAGCACUGGUAGCAAUACCUGGUGGCGACCGGCGCAAGGGUGCGUAACGCGUGAGCAACAUGCCCGUAUCAGGGGAAUAAUCCAGGGAAACUUGGUCUAAUACCCCAUAGUAAAUAUU